UCUCUCUCUCUCUCUCUCUCUCUCUCUCUUGUUUUGCUCUUUUCUCCCCUCACUCCAUCCUGGGAGUUGCCUGUCUCUCCCUCUCCUUCCUGUCUCUCUCUUUUCCCUGACUCCAGAUCUCUGGCUGUCUUCCAGGAGCUGGGACUGAUAGAGAUCAAUGCUGGCUGUCUAAUGAGGGCUGUGCUCUACUCUCAUAGUGACAAUCACAC